rnacentral:rRNA from 1 species
UACGUAGGGGGCAAGCGUUGUCCGGAAUCAUUGGGCGUAAAGCGCGUGUAGGCGGCCCGAUAAGUCCGCUGUGAAAGUCCAGGGCUCAACCCUGGAAAGCCGGUGGAUACUGUCGGGCUAGAGUCCGGAAGAGGCGAGUGGAAUUCCUGGUGUAGCGGUGGAAUGCGCAGAUAUCAGGAGGAACACCGAUAGCGAAGGCAGCUCGCUGGGACGGUACUGACGCUGGAGGUGCGAAAGCGUGGGGAGCGAACAGG